GACAGGGUCAGCUAAAUAAGCUUUCGGGCCCAUACCCCGAACAUGACGGUUAGAAUCCCUCCUCUGUCA
rnacentral:tRNA from 3 species